AGUUGCGAUCAUACCAGCACUAGUGCACCAGAUCCCAUUCCAACUCUGCAUAUAAGCAUGCUUGGGCGAGAGUAGUACUAGGAUGGGUGACCUCCUGGAAAGUCCUCGUGUUGCACCUU
rfam:Lupinus angustifolius cultivar Tanjil contig_40777, whole genome shotgun sequence.